rnacentral:rRNA from 1 species
AUUGAACGCUGGCGGCAGGCCUAACACAUGCAAGUCGAGCGGAGCGUCGGACGCGGGAGUAUUACCUAGGAAUCUGCCUGGUAGUGGGGGAGAACGUUCGGAAACGGACGCUAAUACCGCAUCCUAUCAGAUGAGCCUAGGUCGGAUUAGCUAGUUGGUGAGGUAAUGGCUCACCAAGGCUACGAUCCGUAACUGGUCUGAGAGGAUGAUCAGUCACACGGGAACUGAGACACGGUCCAGACUCCUACGGGAGGCAGCAGUGGGGAAUAUUGGACAAUGGGCGAAAGCCUGAUCCAGCCAGGCCGCGUGUGUGAAGAAGGUCUUCGGAUUGUAAAGCACGUUAAGUUGGGAGGCGGUACCGAAAGAAUAAGCACCGGCUAACUCCGUGCCAGCAGCCGCGGUAAUAC